AAUUAAUUCCAACACUAUCUAAGAACCCUUAAACAAUACUGAGUAAUUCUAUACCACUAUAGAAAAUUUUAUGUUAAAACUAGUAACAAGAAAAAGAACUUCUCUUACAAUGCAAGUAUAAAUCAGAUAGGACACCCCACUGAUAAUUAACACCAAUGAAUAAAAAAUAGCAACUCAACAAGAAAACCCUACUAACUUAUGUGUUAAACUAACACUAGAGCAUUACAAGAAAGAUUAAAAGAAAAAGAAGGAACUCGGCAAAUAUUAACCUCGCCUGUUUACCAAAAACAUCGCCUCUUGAAUAAAUAUAAGAGGUCCAGCCUGCCCAGUGACUCUGUUCAACGGCCGCGGUAUCCUAACCGUGCGAAGGUAGCGUAAUCACUUGUUCUUUAAAUGAGGACUAGUAUGAAUGGCACCACGAAGGUUAUACUGUCUCCUCUUUCUAAUCAGUGAAACUAAUCUCCCCGUGAAGAAGCGGGGAUAAACAUAUAAGACGAGAAGACCCUAUGGAGCUUUAAACCAUGUAACACUUGCACCACUACAAUACAAAUUUCAGAAAAAUCCACCCAAUUUAUGCAAGAUCAUUACCAGUUUUAGGUUGGGGUGACCGCGGAGCAAAAAACAACCUCCACAUUGAAAGGAACUAACUCCUUAGCCAAGAGCCACAUCUCCACGCACCAUUAUAAUGACAUCAAUUGACCCAAUAUUUUGAUCAACGAACCAAGUUACCCUAGGGAUAACAGCGCAAUCCAUUUCAAGAGCUCCUAUCGACAAAUGGGUUUACGACCUCGAUGUUGGAUCAGGGUAUCCCGGUGGUGCAGCCGCUACCAAAGGUUCGUUUGUU
rnacentral:rRNA from 1 species